CCAUGACCCCCUGACCUAGACGCAGAGACCUAGGCCCGCCUCAAGGCCCUGCUAGAGGCUGGAAGUACGACUCUGGGCCCUAAACCUGAGCCAUGUUUUUCAGAACCCAACUGUGCCCAAUCUCACUGUUCAGCCCUGUCCCAAACCUGCCUUCAGCCCUGUCCCAAAGUCAAUUCAAACUUACUUCACCUUUAAUAUUAAGGCCUUGUACCCCAUCCAAACCAAUUCCAUCUAACCCUACUUGACAUAAAAGGACCCCACCAGCAACCCCAUUCCACCCUACCAGAUCCCAGCUCGCCCCGUCUAGUACUUCUCACAAACCUGACACCUUGCUUUGCGAACUGUCACAGUUCUGUUUGAUCCAUUGAAGUAAACGUGUGGUUAUCUGCAUCUAACACAGCAUAGCUGUCACCCACCAUCCGACCACGUUAGAUCACUGAUUACUUCAGGGGAAGGAGGAAGGCAGGAGGUGUUUCAAACAGGAGGAAAGCCAGGAAGAGGGAUGUCCAUGUUUCUAAUGUCAACAUGUGGAUGUUGGUGUGUGCGCGCUUGUGUGUAGCCUACAUGUGCCUGGCUCUUGACUGUUGUAGUGUAGUGGUAGAGCAGGUGUGUGUGCGUGUGUGUGCGUGUGUGUGUGUGUUAUAUGGACCAGGGUGUGUCUAGGUUUUAUGGUAGGUAACACAGGAUUCAAUUAUAUUAAAGCUUUUUGUUAAGUAUCAACACAACACAAAAUGCAAAUGACAGCAAUGUCAAUGUAGUUUUCUCUUCUCUGAGACACAGGCCGUGUCCAAAAUGGCACCCUAUUCCACAGGUCUAUGGGUCCUGAUUUAAAAAGUAGUGCACUAUAUAGGGAAUGUGCUGCCGUUUCGGACGCAGUUUCUGAGCUGCAUUAAUUAUGUAUUUCACCAAGUCAAUUGAGAACCAAUUCUCAUUUAGAUUGACGACCUGGCCGAGAGGCAUAACAGUACAACAGAGAACAGAACAACACACAAUACCACAAACAUGGAGCACACUGUAUACAGAGAACAGAACAACACACAAUACCACAAACAUGGAACACAGGUGCAGUGACGCGGUGGUUUACAGGUGCAGUGACGCGGUGGUUUACAGGUGCAGUGACGCGGUGGUUUACAGGUGCAGUGACGCGGUGGUUUACAGGUGCAGUGACGCGGUGGUUUACAGGUGCAGUGACGCGGUGGUUUACAGGUGCAGUGACGCGGUGGUUUACAGGUGCAGUGACGCGGUGGUUUACAGGUGCAGUGACGCGGUGGUUUACAGGUGCAGUGACGCGGUGGUUUACAGGUGCAGUGACGCGGUGGUUUACAGGUGCAGCCGUAGUAGUACGCGGUGGUUUACAGGUGUAGCCGUAGUAGUACGCGGUGGUUUACUGGGUCAGCCGUAGUAGUACGCGGUGGUUUACUGGGUCAGCCGUAGUAGUACGCGGUGGUUUACUGGGUCAGCCGUAGUAGUACGCGGUGGU